rnacentral:rRNA from 1 species
UACGUAGGGUGCGAGCGUUAAUCGGAAUUACUGGGCGUAAAGCGUGCGCAGGCGGCGCGUUAAGACAGGUGUGAAAGCCCCGAGCUUAACUUGGGAAUUGCGCUUGUGACUGGCGUGCUGGAGUGUGGCAGAGGGAGGUGGAAUUCCACGUGUAGCAGUGAAAUGCGUAGAGAUGUGGAGGAACACCGAUGGCGAAGGCGGUGGUCUGGGCCGGCACUGACGCUGAGGAGCGAAAGCGUGGGUAGCAAACAGG